CCUACGGGAGGCAGCAGUGGGGAUUAUUGGGCAAUGGGCGCAAGCCUGACCCAGCAACGCCGCGUGAAGGAAGCAGGCUUUCGGGUUGUAAACUUCUUUUAAGGGGGAAGAGCAGAAGACGGUACCCCUUGAAUAAGCCACGGCUAACUACGUGCCAGCAGCCGCGGUAAUACGUAGGUGGCAAGCGUUGUCCGGAUUUACUGGGUGUAAAGGGCGUGCAGCCGGAGAGACAAGUCAGAUGUGAAAUCCACGGGCUCAACCCGUGAACUGCAUUUGAAACUGUUUCCCUUGAGUGUCGGAGAGGUAAUCGGAAUUCCUUGUGUAGCGGUGAAAUGCGUAGAUAUAAGGAAGAACACCAGGGGCGAAGGCGGAUUACUGGACGAUAACUGACGGUGAGGCGCGAAAGCGUGGGGAGCAAACAGGAUUAGAUACCCCAGUAGUC
rnacentral:rRNA from 1 species